rnacentral:rRNA from 1 species
CCGAGUAGUGUGGAUGUUUAUUGGGCCUAAAGCAUCCGUAGCUUGCUAAGCAAGUCCCCUGUUAAAUCCACCGAUUCAAUCGUUGGAUUGCGGGGGAUACUGUUUGGCUAGGGGACGGGAGAGGUCGACGGUAUUUCCGGGGUAGGGGUGAAAUCCUAUAAUCCCGGGAGGACCACCAGUGGCGAAGGCUGUCGGC